rnacentral:rRNA from 1 species
GACGGAGGAGGCAAACGUUAUCCGGAAUUAUUGGGCGUAAAGCGUCCGCCGGUGGCUUUCCAAGUCUGCUGUCAAAGCCCGAGGCUUAACCUCGGAUCGGCGGUGGAAACUGGAUCGCUAGGGUACGUCAGGGGUAGGGGGAAUUCCCGGUGUAGCGGUGAAAGGCGUAGAUAUCGGGAAGAACACCAGCGACGAAAGCGCCCUACUGGGACGUUACUGACACUCAUGGACGAAAGCUAGGGGAGCGAAAGGG